rnacentral:lncRNA from 1 species
AGCUCGCCGAUCUACAAGGACAUGCACUGACUAUAUAUAUAUAUUGUAGGCAGACAGAAGAGAGAGAACAUUAGAAGAAGAAAAGGAUGCUGUAGAGAGGCUUCGAGUGCUGCGGAGCAAUCACAGUAAGGUUCUCCCCUUCUCUUCUCUAAUCCAAACUUUGUUUUCGAUUUUUCUCUCAAAUCUUCGGGAAAAAUGUUUUAAUUUUUCUUUACAUUAAGUUUUUUAUUCGUAAGACUUUCAUAAAUAUUAAAAAUUUUAUAAUAGUUUAACAUGAUUUUUUAUUAGUCUUAAAGACUAUGAGGAUACUCUCGACAUACAUUGGAUUGGAUGUGAAGCUUUAUCACUGUCCUUAAACUUAAAAACACCUAAUUUUAUUGUACUCGUGGCUUCCUUAAGCAUGUAAGAAAGAUACAGAGUCUUGUCUAAUUCCAUAUUGAAUUUUAAGUUGAUCAGAUUAUUUACCAUUAAUGCAAUAAGCAAAUAGUGGGGAAGCAGUACAUGUUUUGAUCCGAUUGAUCAUUUCGUAGGAAAAAUGCAAUAGGUCUAUCAUCUUUUUAGGCAUAGCGAUCCAUGAAAACUUCUCAUAAACUUCCUUAAGAUCCAAAUUUACGAUAAUAUAUGGAUUUUUAUCAUGAAAAUUAAAUAUUGAAUACGUAAUUUCUUGAGCUACUAUUAACUUCGUUUUGGCUGUUUGUAUUUGAUUUGGCAGCCUUCUACAAAGAAUCCCGAUCUCUUGUGAAUAAAUAAGAUAUUAAUGUAUGAUCGUUCAAUAAUGCACAAACUCUUGAGCAUGGAUUUUACGAUUCGAGUGUGAUGGUAGUAGCACUAACGCAUUAUAUUCCAUCAAAACUUUAAAAUUAAGCUCGGGUAAUAGUAGCACCCUCGGGAAAUCCUCGUGUUGCACUCCUAAUAUCAGAAUAAGAAUAAUAAUAUACGAUAAAAAUAUGUGAAAUAUUAUAAAAUUAAAUAAAAAUUAGAAAAUAAAACUCGAAAACGUGUGAUUGUUAUCCUAAGCAUAUUUUCUUUAUCUUGUAUUGGUCUUUAUGAAAAAAAUUACUUAAAAAUAUAAUCGAAAUAUAAAUUCAACUACAUGAAUAUAGUAGAGAAUCAAGAGAACUUGACACUAGCAAAACCAAACAAAAAACAAAGAUGUAACUCGAAAAGAGUUGAAAAAGCAACAGAAUUAAGUUGUAAAAAACUAUGAAUAGUAGAUAUUUAUAAGUUUUUUUUGGCCAAUCAGUGACUGCCACAUGACAACUUACGAGUGCACCGUGUGACCAUGGAAGAGGGUUGAAACGUCCGUUGGAUUCACAUCACCUGCGUACGGCAUUACUCUCAAAGGCAAAAUAGUCAAAGAUAAGGGUAUUUUCAUAAUUUUAGAAAGAAAGAGUAAAAAAUAUGCGUAAACCCAUAACUUAUGGUUUCCCCACUAAAGCAAAUAAUAAGAUAUUAUUUUAUUAUUUAUCAUCAUAGUAUUAUUGAUUUUAUUUUAUUUUAUUUUCUUCUCUACGUUCUCUUAUUUCAUUCUCAUUAUCAAAAUUGUUCCUUGCUAGUAUUGGCAUCGUUGUUAACAUCGAUACUUUUUACAGACGCUACUUGCUAUCUCCUCUAACGCCUCUUAGGUCGUUUUUAAUGUAGUUGACAUGAGUGCGAUGAUCCACGAUACUCAUCACAUGUGUAGUUGGAGGCGAAGUCACUCGAUAUUGUCGAACUCCGCUUGCCCCUCUCAACAUUAUCCUUCCAAGAUGCGUAAAAAGAAAGAAGAAAAAAAAAAAGAUGGAGAAGAUAUUUCUAUCCUUCUAUAAAGGGGUCAACGUUGCCGCUCCACGUGAUCCCACGUGACAUCCUGAGACUGUAUCGUUUGGUACUCUGCGACGAGACAGUGGAAUCGAUACGGACAUUAAUCGUUGCUUAUUUUGGGAUCCCACGCACUUGGAAUGAGCCCAAGUAUCGAUAGGUGCAUGCACUGAGCUCGUGUCCAAGUCUGACUACGAAGUAGAAUCUGAAUUAAUCGAGGAGUGUAUGUAUGUUUGGAUGAGAUUAGGAUUGUGUUGAAGUUUUCCUUAUCAGAGUCGGUGUCUUAUGCAACCUAUAAUCGCCUAUAUAUGUAACGCUCAUUAAUGAACGGACAGACAGAAGGGAGACAACAUUAGCAGAAGAAGACGAAGAAGAAGAAAAGGAUGCUGUAGAGAGGCUUCCGGUGCUACCGAGCGAUUACGGUAAGGUUCUCUCCCCUUCUCUUCUCUUCUCUCUACUUCGAGCUUUGUUUUUUAUUAUUCUCUCAAACAUUAGGAAUAAAUAUUUCAAGUUGUUUUUACAUUAAUUAUUUUAUUCUUAAGACUUCCAUCAUGUUAAAUAAAAAUUAUUUUAGCAUAUUUUUUUAUUAGUCCUAAAGGCUAAGAAGAUAUCAUCAGCGUACAUUAGAUGUGAAGUUUUACCACUGUUCUUAAAUUUCUUCAAUAAAUAUCUCCCCGAAACGCAGCUAUAAUGUGAUAGUUUGAUUUAAUCUUCUCCUCAAAAUGAUCAAAUUAGGAUAGUAUUUAGAAUUUUUAUCCCUUUCAUUUAGCCAUUUAGUUUAUUUCCAACUCACCUUUAAGACACAUUAAAGAAUUCACUUCAAAGUAGUCACAGUAGCAACCUUUAAGUAUGUAUGAUCAAUAGAGUUUUCAAAAUAUAUUGAUUUUUCAAUCGAGUUUUAAAAUCGAUUAAAAAUACUAUCAUACUAAUUCACUCUUCUUCUCCUCGAUGCCAUUAAGAUCGUAACAUUAAGGUCUACUAGUGAUCCUCAAUACGUAAGUGAUUGAUUCUUUGCCACCUGUAUCAAUAUAUAAAACAAUAAAAAAGAUAAUAAUACUUGUAAUUGAUUGAUAAUUAAAACCUUAUCAUGAAAUACUUGUAUAGUAUUGCAUACCAAUGUCUGUCUGUAGCUACUUGUCAUGCUACGAUUUUAGGUCCCAUACAAGUAGAAGAUCUAUCACAGAUGUUAAACUCUCAACUUUCCAUUGACUUUUACCACUGUGAUGAGGGUGAUAAUUACGAUAAGACUUGCGUGACAUCAGCUGACGCCCUAUGUCUCUGUCGGGCUAACAGCGCCUGGUGGGCCGAAACGCCAACCGAGGCCCGUUAACGAUCGCUCAGCCUCGAUUCCUUCACGCCACGCCAACACCAGUGUCAGACGCUACCAGGAGUACGAGCCUGCCCCCUGUAAGCAGGCACAUCAGGAAACAGUAAGCUUCCCUAUAAAUACCCUCGCAUUCUAAACGAGAAGAGGAGAGGGCACCAACAUAGAUAACAAACCCACUGUGACUAUUCACUAACUUAAUCAUCGGAGGGGUUGGGUCGAGCAUCCCGAUCCGACCUGUGUGCAGGGACGAAGACGAGGCGCCUCUCUCCGGGGAGCAUACCACUCUUCUUCUCCUCGAUGCCAUUAAGAUCAUAACAUUAAGGUCUACUAGUGAUCCUCAAUAGGCAAGUGAUUGAUUCUUUGCCACCUGUAUCAAUAUAUAAAACAAUAAAAAAGAUAAUAGUACUUGUAAUUGAUUGAUAAUUAAAACCUUGUCAUGAAAUACUUGUAUAGUAUUGCACCCGUCGACCAAUGUCUGUCUGUAGCUACUUGUCAUGCUACGAUUUUAGUUCCCAUACAAGUAGAGGAUCUAUCACAGAUGUUAAACUCUCAACAUUCCAUUGAUUUUUACCACCAUAUCUGUGCAUGACAAUAUUUCUUCGAUCUACGUAGCUCAAGUCUCACCGACCUGAGUUCAAAUCGUACUUAGUCGGAGAUUAAGGUUUCUCUAACGAAUGUCAAACCCAUUGAAUUCGAAGUAUUGUAGAGAUCAAUCGGUAGAUGUUCAGUCUAACAAUACAAGUAGAAGAAAUAGUAGUUGUUGUACCCACAAAUUAAAUGACGAAUUAUGUCGACACUUUGUUGAUUUAAAGAGAGAAGGGAAUUUAUUUUUGGAUGGAGUUUAAGAUCGAAUUCCUUUUAUGGGAGAUUACAUAUCCUUCUCCUCCUCUAAUUAUGCCAAGUCAAGCCCAUGAUUCGGGCUUUGUGUGCUCAUCGCAGGAAACCCUCUCCUUCCACCUCUGUAAAUUCUCAGAAGCCUUCCUCACCUCGCCUUCUUCUUUGUGUGAAGGCAUCUCCUCCUCCCUCACGAUCCGGAAGCAUUGGUUUGGAAGAUGAGAGGCGCUUGGCGGUUCUUCUUUCUGGUUAUUCUUCUACUCCUUCCUCUCCUUGUUCAUGGCGAUGGCGAAGGUGACUGCUCCGCCGACGACGAAGGCCGCGACAGGAAGAAGGCCCUUCCGCUCAAGAUCGGAGCGAUAGUUUCCAUCCUGGUUUGUGGUGGCAUCGGGGUGGGUGUUCCCGUGCUUGGCAUGUGGAUACAGUCGCUUCGUCCGGAGAAGGACAUCUUCUUCGUCAUCAAAGCUUUUGCCGCCGGAGUCAUUCUGGCCACCGGCUUCAUCCACAUAUUGCCAGAUGCGUUCGAGACCCUGACCUCCUCAUGUCUGGCCGCGAGUCCUUGGCAGGACUUUCCGUUCGCGGGGUUCUGCGCGAUGGUCGGCGCAAUCGGGACGCUGAUGGUGGACACCCUCGCCACCGGAUACUUCAGCCGAUUAAACGGUGAUAGAUUGCGGUCGACUUCAUUGAGCGAAGCCACGAAUGGCGAUGUGGAGGCAACUCACGGUCACACCCAUGGUGCCGCUGUGAUGCAGCCGGAGGAUUCUUCGGCCCAGCUCAUCCGACAUCGUGUUGUUUCUCAGGUAAGGAACCGAUGCUUCACCUUGUGCCUUCACAAACCUUGUCGAUGUACCGCGAAUUAACGAGAACCGCGAGCUAGGUUUUGGAGCUCGGGAUCGUGGUGCAUUCUGUGAUCAUCGGGAUCUCUUUGGGGGCAUCGGAGUCUCCAUCCACCAUACGACCGCUGGUAGUUGCUCUCAGUUUCCAUCAGUUCUUCGAAGGCAUGGGUCUCGGAGGCUGUAUCGUUCAGGUACGCUUAUUUUGCUGCAUGAAUAGCUGCUUCUUCUUCUUCUUCUUCUUCCUCCUUAGAAAUAUUCCUCUUCUGGAGUUCCUUCUCGUUGCAGGCAAGGUUCGAUUUCAAGGCAAUGGUGACAAUGGGGCUCUUCUUUUCGCUCACGACUCCGGUUGGGAUCGCCAUCGGCACUGGGAUAUCAUCCGUGUACAACGAGAACAGCCCUACUGCAUUGAUCGUUCAAGGACUUCUGGAUUCUGUCGCCGCGGGGAUCUUGAUAUACAUGGCAUUGGUUGACCUGCUGGCUGCAGAUUUCAUGCACCCGAGGGUGCAGAGCAAACCGAAGCUACAGUUUGCGUUGAAUGUUUCUCUGCUCGCAGGCUCAGGCUUGAUGGCUCUCCUUGCCAAGUGGGCUUAAAUGUCAUGUAAUAGUUCUGGUUUGCCAAUGGUCGUGCUUAGUUAAUUACCAAGAAUACAUAUUAGUUUCCGUAACUCGAUGACUUCACCGAUGCCUCUUCAUGGACGUGUGACUUUUGUCGUAUUACCGAUCACAUGCAUUACGUGCACCAUGUUUGCCGCCUGAGAUGAAUAGGAGAGAACCAAUGCAGAGUGGGAACAGAGACUCCCGACGCAAUCGAUUGGAGCACCACCCAGAAGCUGAGCAGGUGGCACUGCUCGUCGAGGAUCUCGACGUGCUUGCAGUUGGUCACCCCCGGCAGGCCCGACGCGCGACGGACCUCCCGUAGGGUACCGACGUCGUCGUCGAUCACGUGACAGUUUUUUACGAAUUACUUGGAGGCCUGCAGCCGGUCGAAACGCCUCACCACCGACCACACGGUGGCCACGCGCGGCCGACGCGACGUGUUGCACCGGCAGCUGGGUUUGGCUUGGAGGGCUCAUGGAACAUGAUUGCUCGAACUCGCCUCAUUUCUGCCGGUGCGAAGAGGUGGGGAGAAGAAACUGUUUCUUUCUUCUCGUGCAAAAAAGGGCGACGAGGCGACAUCGUUGCCUCGUCUCCUCUGCCUACGUGGGGAGAAGAAAUGCUACCUUGACGACGUUCAAUUUCUUUUCCUCGCGACAUCGUCGAGGAAUUUUCUCGCUGUACGGAUGAGGAGAAGUUGUCGACGAUGCCGAGACCUUGUCACCUCAGACGAGGAGGGAGAGCAGCGUCAGAACUCCAGGUUCUCUUCUUCUCCCUCAGCUAAUACCACCCGGUAGCAGGUGGUAACGGGAUGGAAACAACUCCAAUCGAUGGUAGCGGGUGGUCCGCAUACCGGUCUGCUGACGAACCAGUACGUAUUAUCCGGUACAAACAUUAUUAUUCAAAAUUAAAAACCUUGGUACAAUCCAUUAACUACUGCAAAAUUCCUACUAUGUUAUGUAAUUAUGUCAUAGCUACUUAAUUCCUACUAUCUCAUAUAACUAUAUGCCAUCUUAUUCUAUAAUCUCAAACACGAUUGCUCUGUAAAAUGUGGUUUCGUUUAGUUACAUGAAUGUUAACAUGUUGAACUUCUUUUUUCCUUUUAAAUUUAGCAUGACUGGGUAAAUUACAAGAAUUACUUCAUUAAGGAUAUUUUUAUUACGACUAAAACUAAGUGACUUUGCUUGGGAACACUAGGGUAACAUGAAAUUUUAGGGAAAGAAUUUCAUAUUAUCUGUCAUGUAAAAGUCCUUGGUAAGUUUUCAUACUUUCUGUGUUCAGUCACAAGUGCUCUGUGCAUCAAGAUUCUUAGGUUGGUUGAAUCUCCUGCUAGGAAAGCUUUAUGAAGGUGUUAAUUGACCUCAACUUCUCAUUAGUGCCAUUUAUAAGUAGAUGAGGUUGUCAACUAGUUGCUAGAGGUUGUUGGUGUCUCUGCUGCUAAUUAUUUCGUUGCCCUUGCAACGGAAAAGCACCUUAUAAGAAAACCAUCAAGCAGCCUUUUCUUUUGGUGCUUCUUUGUUGAGUGUACGUGUAGCGCAUGUUUGCACAGGUAUUAAUUGUUAGUCAUCUUAUUAACGCAAUUUGUGGUUAAAAAGUAUGUCUAUUAACCCAAGUCAACUAUCGCAAUGCUUCUUUUUCAGUGUAUGUUAGGGUUUGUGUUUCACAUGCGUUCUUCUUUGAUUAACUUCAUCAAAAGCUCACUUACUAACUUUCAACCAAUUCUCUUAAUACUGUUCUUUUUGAGUGUCCAUUACCCAUUUGUGGUUAGAAGUUUUGCCUAUUCAACUGGAGCCAACUCUUCUGUUGGAGUUGUCGGUAAGGGUGUUUCCACAGGUACUAAUUGACAUAAACUUCAUAUUUGUAGGGCCAUUUGUGAUUCCAUCAACUGCAGCCAACUUUAUCUUUCAGCGUAGGUAUCAGACAUACAAGAGUUUGACAAAUCUGUAUGGUUCACAUCAUUCCAACGUGAGUUAGGAAGGAUAUUAGAGAUAUGAUGUUCUUGGAUUUGAAGAACAUUCCCCGUCAAGUUUUUUCUUUGGCUGGCAUUUUGAUGAUGUGCAAGUACUUUUAUGGUCAACUUUAUACUGCUUGAAUUUUCAAAUGAAAGCCGAACUUAGCUCACCAAGUAAUUUACAUAUUUCAAUUAGUUUUCUCAUGGAUUUGGAACUGUAGGGUAUGGUUACGGACUGUCUUUUGGUUUAUUGUAUCAGUAAGAAAUGGAGGGAGGGCGCCCCACUGAAUAGAACUGGGGUAGGUUCAUUCCCAAUGUUACUACUACAUGUCCAAAUGAUGGCAUCGUGCAGCGGUAGUAUCAAUGUUUGCUACACCCACUGUAGACACUUGCUAUUAUGAUUUUGGCCUACCAUCCUUACGAUCUCCUGUUUGUCCUCCUCUAUUUUGUUCCGUCUUCCGUAACCCUGAUGGGAAUAUGCUCGUUGUUAAAAAUGUAGCUGAAAUGAGUCGAUGCAUCUUCCUUCGUCUUGGCCUCUCGUCGUGGGUUAUCCAAACCAACGUUGUCGUGGUUGUGAACGUCGUGCUUUUUUGAUGCCGCUCCCUGCUUUCUCUCUCGGAGUAAAAAAGGAAAUCAAGGAGACUCAGAAACCUUCCUCACCUCGCCUUCUUCUUUGUGUGAAGGCAUCUCCUCCUCCCUCACGAUCCGGAAGCAUUGGUUUGGAAGAUGAGAGGCGCUUGGCGGUUCCUCUUUCUGGUUCUUCUUCGACUCCUUCCUCUCCAUGUUCAUGGCGAUGGCGAAGGUGACUGCUCCACCGACGACGAAGGCCGCGACAAGAAGAAGGCCCUUCCGCUCAAGAUCGCAGCGAUAGUUUCCAUCCUGGUUUGUGGUGGCAUCGGGGUGGGUGUUCCCGUGCUUGGCAUGUGGAUACAGUCGCUUCGUCCGGAGAAGGACAUCUUCUUCGUCAUCAAAGCUUUUGCCGCCGGAGUCAUUCUGGCCACCGGCUUCAUCCACAUAUUGCCGGAUGCGUUCGAGACCCUGACCUCCUCAUGUCUGGCCGCGAGUCCUUGGCAGGACUUUCUGUUCGCGGGGUUCUGCGCGAUGGUCGGCGCUAUCUGGACGCUGAUGGUGGACACUCUCGCCACCGGAUACUUCAGCCGAUUAAACGGUGACAGAUUGCUGCCGACUUCAUUGAGCGAAGCCACGAAUGGCGAUGUGGAGGCAACUCACGAUCACACCCAUGGUGCCGCUGUGAUGCAGCCGGAGGAUUCUUCGGCCCAGCUCAUCCGACAUCGUGUUGUUUCUCAGGUAAGGAACCGAUGCUUCACCUUGUGCCUUCACAAACCUUGUCGAUGUACCGCGAAUUAACGAUAACCGCGAGCUAGGUUUUGGAGCUCGGGAUCGUGGUGCAUUCUGUGAUCAUCGGGAUCUCUUUGGGGGCAUCGGAGCCUCCAUCCACCAUACGACCACUGGUAGCUGCUCUCAGUUUCCAUCAGUUCUUCGAAGGCAUGGGUCUCGGAGGCUGUAUCGUUCAGGUACGCUUAUUUUGCUGCAUGAAUAGCUGCUUCUUCUUCUUCUUCCUCCUUGGAAAUAUUACUCUUCUGGAGUUCCUUCUCGUUGCAGGCAAGGUUCGAGUUCAAGGCAAUGGUGACAAUGGGGCUCUUCUUUUCGCUCACGACUCCGGUUGGGAUCGCCAUCGGCACUGGGAUAUCAUCCGUGUACAACGAGAACAGCCCUACUGCAUUGAUCGUUCAAGGACUUCUGGACUCUGUCAUCCGUAACUCGAUGACUUCACCGAUGCCUCUGCAUGGACGUGUGACUUUUGUCGUAUUCCUGAUCACAUGCAUUACGUGCACCAUGUUUGCCGCCUGAGAGGAAUAGGAGAGAGCCAACGCAGAGUGGGAACAGAGACUCCCGACGCAGUCGAUUCGAGGCCGCCACAGAGAUGCUGGCUGCCCACCACCCAGAAGCUGACCAGGUGGCACUCCUCGUCGAGGAUCUCGACGAGCUUGCGGUUGGUCAGCGCCGGCAGGCCCGAUACGAGAUGGACGUCGCCGUCGAUCACGUGGCAGCUCUUUACGAAUUACUUGUAGGCCUGCAGCCGGUCGAAACGCCGCACCACCGACCGCACGGUGGCCACGCGCGCUCACGGACGGCGCACCUCCCCUGAGGCUGUUCCUGGAGUGGGUCUGCGACCGAUGCGAUGGUGCGGAGGGAAGGAUGGAGUGCGGCAUGGCAACUGGGUUUGGCUUGGAGGGCUCAUGGAACUUGCAUGAUUGCUCCCAUUGCCAUUGAGCUUCCUUCUCAUGUAUCAAUCACGAAUCUUGACACACUCGUUUGUUGCAAUAAUUAAAAUUAAUGGACUUAUAGGAACUACAUGAUCCUGAGUUAUUACUCCUCUUAUAGAUCAUCGCUACAAAGUCUCCACUAAUUUUAGCAAGAUCACAGCUGAUUUGAAAGUAUAGCGUAUGUAUGAUGAAGUGUGAAGACUAAAUAUUUAAUGCUAAGAGGAGAGCCACAGAGGAUCCACGAAAUCACAGCCUACAAAUCCAGCAGGGGAAGUGAAAUCUGUAGGUCAUAAGCAUCAAUCCAUUCAUGUCCUUUAAAGCAGCCCUACUGGUCAAGAACUCAAAAGCCCAUGAAGCUGCAGGCUCAGCGUCAUCACAUCGGUGGCCACAGACACAGGCACAGUGAUGUGAUGUACAGCUGCUACAAUAACCUGGGGACACUGCUCUCCAAAGUUAGGUUAGGAUGGAGCCCGUAAACUUUGGCAGGGAUAGGGUGUCAGCUUUAGUGCGCAGGAAGAAGGGAGAGCCGAGAGCGGACGAAAGGGAGUGUCCUUUAGCCAUUUAAGAGAGCCCUCGGAACCGGUGACCGGGAGCGACGAGGAGGAAGAGGGUAGGAGAAAGACGUUGAGGCACUCCAAGUUCCGAGGGCCGAGUGGUGGUGGUGCUUCUGCACCAGUUAAACCUAGGUUUCCUCUGUAACUAAGACUGCCCUAAUCCUCAUUCAAGUGCCAUUCGACGUUCGGUCAAGCUCCUACCGGUGAAUCCUGACAUGUAUAUACCUCAAGCAUCUGAAGAAAUGCCCAGAGCCGAUGGCCACUGCGCUGCUGCACAGUCCAAGAACUACUUCACAUGAAGGAAACAGUGAAAGGAAAGCUACACUACCGCCAGAGAUUAGUCUGCAACCUGUGGAAAUGAUUGGUGGAGCUUUAUUUUCCCACCAACUCACCUAAUGCCUGCACAGGCCAUUAAAUUCGGCAUAUAAAGGCUGGAGAAGCUGAGUUCCUUUCUAACAAAGCUAUGCCACCCACCCGAGUACAUAUCCAACUAUAAAUUCACCCCAGUAGCCCCAAGGUUUCCCCAUCCCUCUCUCUCUGUCUCUCUCUCUCUCUCUCGCUCUCGGUGGGUUGACGAGGCAAAAGUAAGGAAGAAUCUGUAAAGCUCAGGAGGGAUAGCGCCAUGGACGAUGAGGAACAUGAAUUCUGAAACCAUUUGGUGGUUCUGCUUUCGAGUCUAAUGCGCUAUCUAUCCUGAGUUCUAUGGGUUCUUCGUACUACUACUACUCUAGGAGGAGUUUGAUGCGUGGGGAAUGCGUAGUAUCAUCCUCUCUUAUUCUCAUCCACUUCCGCAUAUUAUUCUACGCUUUCCAUUUGCCAGCAGCAGUUGGUUUCUUCUCACACCAAAACUAGUAGCUACGUCACCAUUCUCACUACGAAGCUUCCCAAGCUGCUUGUUUCCUUCUCAACAUAUGGUAAGGUACACCUUCAUACCAGUUCAAGGUACGUAACAGGAUGUGAAUUGCGUUCUCCUUCAACCCUUCUCUUUCUCUCUCUCUAUGCUUUAUUCAUCGAGUAGCCAAGCAUUUCCGUAGACCUGGUUCCGUGUUUUAGCAGAUAUCCUCGGAAAGGGAAGUGCAAUUGACCUCUGAUCCCACAGCUCUAAAGGAAACGUUAGAUGCAAACAUACACCCAGAAGACGAGGCUGGGCAGCGGAUGAUGCCUCCAAGCAGAAAACUAAGGGCAAGGUGCGGACAUAAUUCAACCGAGUACGAUCGCACAAGUCACGAGAUACGGAGGUGGAAAUUAAUAGCAGCAGAGAAAAUGGCAGCCGCCUGAGCGAAUACAGAGACGGCCGUAUAAUCUCCUGCCACUGCGAAUGCGGCAGCAUGUCAUAUGCAUUAACGAGCUGCCACUCUUUCACCGUCACCGCAUGCGUCGUAUAUGUUAAUAUUCUGUCAAUAUCGCACUGUCACAAAACAAAAACCUUGAAACUGUUCAUGACGAGUGUGGUAAAAAUAUAAGAUUUACCAGCGCAGGGUACGGACGGCUCUCACCGCAUGCAAAUCAUGAGAUGCAGACGACUCCUCUUUCCGAACACAGUGAUAGUGUCCCCUUUUCAUUUAAUCCGAGUCGAAAAAUAUUUGGGGAAAGUUCUUCUUCUCUAUUACGUUUAUCAUUCAUGAAUCCAACACGAAAUGGGAACGAUGACGAAGAAAGCAGUUCUUGCUUCGAGAUAUUGACUUUCCCGAAUCAAAAAGCUAUCAGUGCGAUUCGUCGUCCACCGCACCUCUCGGAUGAGACGAAGCAAGCAAUCCUUAUAGCUCCCUACUUGGAAACCAUUUAUGAUCUUUGGCGCAUGCUUUCCUCUCUUUUUCCACGGAUAUGCAUGCAAGCUGGACUAAUGAAUCUACAUAAAGGUUUUGCGUGAAGGACGAAUCAAUCUAUUGUGAUAGGAAUUCGGGAUAUGGAGGAAUUAAUGGAAAGAAUAAAUCAAAGUUGCAUAAAAUAAAUCGAUCCAAUUUUCUAAUAUAGUGAUAGAUUAUUUAAAUAUCCUUAACAUUAUUUUUUAUAUUAAAUAUAAUUAAUUAAUUAAUUAAGUAAUUAAUAUUUUUAAAUUAUUCAUUUAAGAGGGCAUUUAUGUUAAUAAAAAUGAGAUUGACGUGAGAAAUAAAUUAAAAUCAACUCGGUUUUACAUAAUUAUCAUAAUGUUUAUGUUUCUAAUAUUAGUUGAUAUUUUAAAUUUUUUUUAUUAAAUAUGCGAUCCGAUUCUCAUGAAGUAGAAGAAAAAUAAACAUAAUUGAAUUAAGGUACUUAGAAUGAAUUUAAGACUCCAAAUCCCAUGAGCAACAAAGCUCACCAUGUCCUAAUGUUAAUCUAGCAUACAGAUUGAUCCAAUGGAAAACAUUGACUUUUACUCCAGAAUUUAAUUGACAAGUGAAAUUAAUUCCACACAAAAUCGGAACCACAAGGAAUAAUAUUUCCUUAAUUUGUUAUAUUUGGAACAUUAUCCCAUCAUUUACUUAGUAGGAUUCAGUUGGUGUCAUGGCACAGUUGUUUGUUUCCUUUCCUUGUAGGAAUAAGAUAUCCUUUCCUUGCACACAAUGUUCUUAACCUAAUUAUCAGAUGGUUAAUCGAUACCCUUUCCACUCAACCGAUGAUCAAUCAACCUUGAUAUGGUGUCUUCACGGCGGAUCCGAAUGAGAUAUGGAUUAACAGGUGAAUAAACGAUCAAAUAAUCCUCCCCUCUUCAACCUUAUCCACACUCCCGAGUAUAUAACCUCGCAUGCAUGCACCCAAGCUUUGGUCCGGUGACAAGCAUGGCACGCUUCCUCCUUCACUUGCUCCUCUUCUUCUCCUCCCUCUUCUUCGACUUCACCGCCUCCGCUGACAACGGCACCCGUGCACCCGACUUCUCCGCCGUCCUGUACUUCGGUGACUCCACGCUGGACACCGGAAACAAUGGCUACAUCCUCACGUUGGUCAGGGGCAACCAUCCCCCUUACGGCCGGGACUUCCCGGGAAGCGUUGCGACAGGGAGGUUCUCCAAUGGCCUGCUUGUGCCCGACCUUCUUUGCUCCGAGCUCGAGAUCAAGCAGCUGUCGCCGCCGUUCAUGGACCCGAAUCUCUCGGACGACGACAUCCGCACGGGCGUCAACUUCGCUUCGGCCGGGUCGGGGUUCGACGACGCGACCUCGGCUCUCCUGAACACGAUCCCCAUAUCGAGGCAAUUGGAAAUGUUCGAGGAGUACCUCGCCAGGCUCAAAGCUGUUGCUGGGGAGGAGGACGCCAAAAGAAUCGUAAGCGACGCUUUGUUCCUCGUCAGUGCGGGAACCAAUGACUUCCUGUUGAACUACUAUGACCUGCCCACCACCACCAGGACUGCGAUGACCAUAGAUGAGUACCAGGAUUUCCUGCUCCAAAACCUCCACAAGUUUCUCAAGGUAAUCGAUGCUUUCCAUCGCAAGCACUUCGUAGUCGAUUCCUUGUUCAUUUGCUGUUUCAUGCAUGCAGGAUAGCUAUGAUCUCGGAGGCCGUAGGUUCAUAGUCGUUGGCCUUCCUCCGAUCGGGUGCUUACCGCUCCAAAUGACGCUAAGCGUGGUUCAUUCUGUCGUCCGGACGUGCGUCGAUGAGCAGAACUCAGAUGCGCGGCACUACAAUUCCAAGCUCAAGCACCUUCUGCUCAAGACCCAGCAAUCUCUUCCCGGGAGCAAGUUUGUCUACCUCGACUUGUAUGACUUCUUGAUGGAGGUCCUCAACAAUGCAGCCAAGCAUGGUAAGCCGACCUGCAUCACUUCUCCCUCUCGAUCAAACAGAACGACCAGCUUGGAGUUCGAGUAACUCUACCUAACGCUGUCGAAAUGUGCUCUGGUUCGAUUCAGGUUUCCAUGAAACCAAGAGAGGAUGUUGCGGGACGGGGCUGUUCGAAGUAGGUCCUCUUUGCAACCGGUUGAACCCAGCUUGCCCGGACGCGUCGAGAUUUGUGUUUUAUGAUGCCAUCCAUCCGUCGCAGAGAUUUUAUGAGUUGAUCACCGACUACGUUGUGGAGGACAUCAUUCCACAUUUGCGACGACGAGUGUGAUUAACGAGCCUGUCAUCGAGUCCAUUCAUCUUUGACCCGUUUCGCUCUAUAACAAACGUUUCCAUUGUGAUACGUGUGGGCAACGUCUGUAGUUAUGGCGCUUUUGUGCAACACAAGUCCACUUAGUUCGUGUGUAGCUCUCGCUGACAUUAGUUUAUUUAUGAUGCUCCUCGGAGCAGAGUACCGACGCGAACCGCCGACCGCACUCUUCUUGCGUUUAUAUCGAAAUGACGCUUUACCCCACGACUAGAGCGCUUCCGAGAUCUACAAGUAGUUCACCGGAAGGCCUCCCGCGAAGUGAAGCUUUACCCCACGACUAGAGCGCUUCCGAGAUCUACAAGUAGUUCACCGGAAGUUCUCCCGCCGGAGAUGAUGUCUUCCGCCCCCUCCCUGCCUCCCCUCCCCAUCUCAAACCCACCUGCCGCCUCCGCCGCCCCCGUCGCCCCCUCCUCCGCCGCCCCCGUCGCCACUCCCGCCUUCCGCCUCUUCCUCUCCCGCCUCUCGGACUCCGUCGGCCGCUCCCUCUCCAACCGCCGCCCCUGGUCGGAACUCGCCGACCGAUCUGCCUUCUCCCGUCCGGAUUCCCUCUCCGACGCCUCCUACCGCCUGCGCAAGAACCUCACCUACUUCCGCGUCAACUACGCCGCUGUCGUCGCCGCCGUCCUCGCCAUCUCCCUCAUCACCAACCCCUUCUCUCUCGUCGUUCUCCUCGCCCUCCUCGCCGCCUGGUGUCUCCUCUACCUAUUCCGCCCCUCAGAUCCGCCGCUCGUCAUCCUUGGCCGGACCUUCUCGGAUCGCGAGACCCUCGGCAGUCUUGUCCUCAUCACCGUUUUCGUAGUCUUCCUCACCUCCGUCGGGUCGCUUCUGAUCUCAGCCCUGGUCGCCGGUGCUGCCAUCGUCGGCGCCCAUGGGGCUUUCCGGGUGCCGGAGGAUCUUUUCCUCGAUGAACAGGAAACGGGCGCUGCCAGCAGUCUCUUAUCCUUUCUUGGAGGAGCCGCCUCGGCUGGACCUGCCGUCGUCGCCGCUGCCCGUGUCUGAUCUACCAAUCUACAGCUCUCAACUGCGCCGAGGUUCUUGAUUUCUUGUUAUCUUGUUCUUCCUCUCUCUUGUUUGUAUG